GUGCCAGCCGCCGCGGUAAUACGGAGGGUGCAAGCGUUGUCCGGAAUCACUGGGCGUAAAGGGUGCGCAGGCGGGGCAGCAAGUCGGAGGCGAAAGCCAGUGGCUCAACCACGGAAGUGCCUUCGAAACUGUUGCUCUUGAGUCCCGGAGAGGUUGCCGGAAUUCGUGGUGUAGCGGUGAAAUGCGUAGAUAUCACGAGGAACACCAGAGGCGAAAGCGGGCAACUGGACGGGUACUGACGCUCAGGCACGAAAGCGAGGGGAGCGAACAAGAUUAGAUACCCCAGUAGUCC
rnacentral:rRNA from 1 species